rnacentral:rRNA from 1 species
AGAGUUUGAUCCUGGCUCAGGAUGAACGCUGGCGGUAUGCUUAACACGUGCAAGUCGGACGGGAAGUGGUGUUUCCAGUGGCAGACGGGUGAGUAACGCGUAAGAACCUGCCCUUGGGAGGGGAACAAUAGCUGGAAAUGACUGCUAAUACCCCAUAGGCUGAGGAGGAAAAGGGGGAAUCUGCCCAAGGAGGGGCUCGCGUCUGAUUAGUUAGUUGGUGAGGCAAUGGCUUACCAAGGCGACGAUCAGUAGCUGGUCUGAGAGGAUGAUCAACCACGCUGGGACUGAGACAUGGCCCAGACUCCUACGGGAGGAAGCAGUGGGGAAUUUUCUGCAAUGGGCGACAGCCUGAUGGAGCAAUGCCGCGUGAAGGCAAAAGGCCCACGAGUCAUGAACUUCUUUUCUCGGAGAAGAAAAAUGACGGUCUCUGAGGAAUAAGCAUCAGCUAAAUCUGUGCCAGCAGCCGCGGUAAU